GACAGCAUGUGUCUGGUGGCAGCACCCAAAUGUUAAAAUCCAGCAUGCAAAGCCAAAAUCAUCAACAUGUGAUUUACCAGUGAAUCAGCCUGAAUUUGCUCCCUUCAAGAAGAAUGGUGCCUGUAUGUAAAAAUCACAAAGCAUGCACCGUUGGUGGCACUUGGUGGCUUAUUCAUUAUUCUGUUUGGUAGAUUGGAGAGGCAGAAGAAUAAAAAGAGUUAUUGUUCUCAUUUCCAUGUGAUUUGACUCAGGCAUGUUUAAAGAGUAGCUCUUGUACCAGGGAAAUGAAGAUUUGAUCCUGCACUGCUCUUAAGACACUAUGGGAAAUACUCGUAACUUCUAAGUCUAGUUCAGAUUCUCUUGGCUGCCGAAUUCCGAAACAGUCAUAAAAUGUGAUUUGCACUCCUAGACACUCAGGAAUCUCUCCGUUACCUCAGAGAAUCUGGCCACAAACAGGACUCAGAGUGGAAAUUGCCCAACCUGUCUGCUAUCACUCUCUUGAAAGAGACAGAUCCGAUCAGCAUCUCUCAACUGUGACUCAUGAGGUAUUUUUGGCUAUGUCAAGAACAUUCUCAAACAAGGUUGUACUGAAUUUUCUCUAUUGAUUCCCCUUCCUGAACACAGUCCAUGGUCCAUUCUCUGCCUUGUACGCCCUAGUAUAGGUUCCAGGAAGCUAAACCUUACAGAGAGAAACACAGGCUCUCUUGCCACCUGAUUCUCAUGUGGGUUUGGUCGAGGAAGGACCAAGAGGAACUUGGAAAUCAGAAGGAAAAAGAGUUUAAGUAUUUCCCAACAUUCUCUCUAAGGAUUUUGCCACUUCUUUGCAGAACAAAGAAUGCACACCUACCAAAGGGCUACUUUGCACUCAGCACUGAGUAAGUCACUUUCCAAUCAAUCAUCCCAAAAACCAUCUGAAAUAUUUGUGUUCUUACUUGAUCGAUGAGGAACUUUACCUUAUGCAGUGAAGAAUCUAAGAAGAGAGAGGUUCUACCUCAGAGAAGUGAGCCAGACCAUGUAGAUGGUGGGCUCUCAGGGCAGGUUGGCCAGGGGAUCCGUAAUGACCUCUCUGUUUAUAUCGCUACGCAGUAAAAAGAGAUGAAUCUAAAGGAAACACGUUGUACGUGUAGAUAGUAGAAUGGCUUCCCAAGAGGGACACUAAGUUACCUUUAUUGCUAUUACUGACCAGCAUUGUCAUUUUAUAAGUAGAUUUGUCUGAGCGCCUUAAUGGUAAUAUAGCUGGGCAAAGGGUUGAUUACUUAUAUUUCAUGAGAAUAGAUGAUUAAACAUUCUCAACCUAAAGAAAUGUUAUUAUCUUUAUUACAUUAAUAUUUUGUUAAAGAAAGAGGAUUACAGCAUUAUUUACAGUUACUGAUCUGUGGAUUAAUAGGAAACACUGCUCUUUAAAUAUAGUAAUAACAUGUUAGUUACCAAGAAAACUGAGGCCUGAGAGGUAGAGAAAUUCUGAUGAACAUAAACAAAUUGGGUAUAAGAAUGGAAAGCAAAUCAUUUUUACGGCAAAUGCAUCUGAGCAAACCUGGAAUAAUACUAUUUUCUAAUUGUCAAUAACUGUCACCCCUUGAUUACAGAUGUUUAUAAUACAUAAUAGAAAUAUAUACUAUAUAUUGCCCAUUAAAAUUGGCAAGCAAAAUAGAAGCUCCAGUAUUUCAGAAUUUCUUGAAAAGAAAAUUGGGGGAAGGGGAGAAUACACACACAUACACACACACACACAGACACACUCACAAAAUAAAACAUAUUAUGCCAAGCCCACACUGUAAUUUAUCAACUGGGAAGGAAAUUGGCAUGUCUUUUCCUGCUGAUUUAUUGGUUAAUUCCAACAAUUCAUUGUAGAAAAGGCCACCAAUGAAUUACAGUGUGGGAAAAAAAUUAAGCGGAGCAUUUAGAAAGGUGUUUCAGAAUACAGCCUUUAGAAACAACUUACAUAGCUAUUUUAUAGCCAGUCCCAAAGCAAUUGGUGCA
rnacentral:lncRNA from 1 species